rnacentral:lncRNA from 1 species
CCACAGUGCCUGCCUUUUCAAGUUUUAUGUUGUUGGUCUGAUGCUGGGGAUGGAACCCAUGACCUUUUACAGCCAUAUGUAUCCCUCUCAGUGAGGUCUGAGGGACUGGGCUCCCAAGCUGUCAAUGAGGAGUCAUAGGGAUGACGGUCUCUAAAUUCUGAAGCAACAGGAACACAGCCCUAGUAUUUGAGGGUGCCCUCAGCUGCAUCCUGUCACAGCAGGCUGAGCACUGCCAUUUGAGUGGAGGGGAUGUAAGGCCCCUUGCAGCCAGGUGGGAACACCACCUUCGCUUGAGUAGCAUUUCUGUGCUUUUGCCCCAACUCUGGGUCCCAGUAUAACAAUCCUAGGUAUGGCCACCAGGUGACAAAGCAGCCUGGGAGGCCCUAGGUGGCACCACGGGUACCUUGCUCAGCCACCUGAGCACUCAGCAUUUCUCUCCUCUGCUUUCAACUUCCAGGUUCCAAAAGUGGCAGGAAGCCCCCUGGACCUUCACCCUCGGCCUGCUGUCCCUCCACUACGGCCUAGGAGCUUGGAGUGGGGAGGACCAUGGUGGCACCGUUGUCAGGGGUCUGGACACAGGCAUGCUGGAGACUGGACCUUGCUUAGGAUUGAGGCUGGCCACAGUCUUGUCAGAGGUUACCUUCCCCAACCCUGGCCCUGCUUGUGUUGUUGCCUCAGUGUCUAAUAAAUGCUAAGAAGUGG